ACCCUUAUAAAGAAUGUUUCGUUCUCUUCUCCAACUAAUGUGGGGUCUCACACAUAAUCCACAGGCUUAUCUUUAUUCAUUAUUACAUUCAUCCAUACUCUUCGAUGUUUACCUUCAUCACUUUUCAUAAUCACAGGAGUGGCAUAUUUGACAUUGGUUCAUAGCAAAUUUACUGCUUUCCACCGUUUGCUAAGGCAUUCAAACAUCUUAAUGCACGAGGAAUUCAGCCUGCUGUUCUUUAUCCAGCAGUCAAUGUAUAUCAGUUUGAUGAGUCCCAUUCUUCUAUUUCAACCUUUGCCAAGCUCGGCACAGUUGAAGGAGGCAUUCUUCAAGAUUACAAUGUAGCUGAUGUUUCCAUAGUCAUUGUUGGCGAGUCUCAACCAUUUUCCCUGUCACCGUUCAA